rnacentral:misc_RNA from 1 species
GUGAUUAAAUCGAGCGUGUCUUCACUGACCGCUCACCCUUCUCACCAUCCACAUACACCUGUGCACUGUUUAGCCUGAGCCGGUUUUCCGGUCCAGGUUAUCACUUUCAUACAAACUCUAGUCUUAUGAAUGUAAACGUUUUAAUAACAUAAUA